UGGGCGUAAAGAGCUCGUAGGCGGUUGGUCGCGUCGGCUGUGAAAACCCGGAGCUCAACUCCGGGCCUGCAGUCGAUACGGGCCGACUCGAGUGGUGCAGGGGAGACUGGAAUUCCUGGUGUAGCGGUGAAAUGCGCAGAUAUCAGGAGGAACACCGGUGGCGAAGGCGGGUCUCUGGGCAUCAACUGACGCUGAGGAGCGAAAGCGUGGGGAGCGAACAGGAUUAGAUACCCUGGUAGUCCACGCCGUAAACGUUGGGCGCUAGGUGUGGGGGCCAUUCCACGGUCUCCGUGCCGCAGCUAACGCAUUAAGCGCCCCGCCUGGGGAGUACGGCCGCAAGGCUAAAACUCAAAGGAAUUGACGGGGGCCCGCACAAGCGGCGGAGCAUGUUGCUUAAUUCGAUGCAACGCGAAGAACCUUACCUAGGCUUGACAUGCGCGGAAAUCUUCCAGAGAUGGGGGGUCCGUAAGGGCCGUGCACAGGUGGUGCAUGGUUGUCGUCAGCUCGUGUCGUGAGAUGUUGGGUUAAGUCCCGCAACGAGCGCAACCCUCGUUCCAUGUUGCCAGCGGAUCAUGCCGGGGACUCAUGGGAGACUGCCGGGGUCAACUCGGAGGAAGGUGGGGAUGACGUCAAAUCAUCAUGCCCCUUAUGUCUAGGGCUGCAAACAUGCUACAAUGGCCGGUACAAAGGGCUGCGAUACCGCGAGGUGGAGCGAAUCCCAAAAAGCCGGUCUCAGUUCGGAUUGGGGUCUGCAACUCGACCCCAUGAAGUUGGAGUCGCUAGUAAUCGCAGAUCAGCAACGCUGCGGUGAAUACGUUCCCG
rnacentral:rRNA from 1 species